GACGAACGCUGGCGGCGUGCUUAACACAUGCAAGUCGAACGGUAAGGCCCUUCGGGGUACACGAGUGGCGAACGGGUGAGUAACACGUGGGUGAUCUGCCCUGCGCUUCGGGAUAAGCCUGGGAAACUGGGUCUAAUACCGGAUAGGACCACUGCCUGCAUGGGUGGUGGUGGAAAGCUUUUGCGGUGUGGGAUGGGCCCGCGGCCUAUCAGCUUGUUGGUGGGGUGAUGGCCUACCAAGGCGACGACGGGUAGCCGGCCUGAGAGGGUGACCGGCCACACUGAGACUGAGAUACGGCCCAGACUCCUACGGGAGGCAGCAGUGGGGAAUAUUGCACAAUGGGCGCAAGCCUGAUGCAGCGACGCCGCGUGAGGGAUGACGGCCUUCGGGUUGUAAACCUCUUUCAGCACCGACGAAGCGCAAGUGACGGUAGGUGCAGAAGAAGGACCGGCCAACUACGUGCCAGCAGCCGCAGUAA
rnacentral:rRNA from 1 species